UGAUAGAAAACCAGUUGACGUCAACUCUAACUUUAGCAUCUUUCUUUUAAGCAGAGUAGAAAGUGCUAUCAAGUUGGGGUAGAUGUUUGCUGA
rnacentral:pre_miRNA from 8 species